CUUAGGUUACUUUCGCAAACUUUGUUCAGUAAUUAGUUUGCGACCGUAAUCUAGUG
rnacentral:pre_miRNA from 1 species